rnacentral:rRNA from 1 species
UACAGGAGGGUGCAAGCGUUAAUCGGAAUUACUGGGCGUAAAGCGCGCGUAGGUGGUUUGUUAAGUUUGAAUGUGAAAUCCCCCGGGCUCAACCUGGGAACUGCAUCCAAAACUGGCAAGCUAGAGUAGGGCAGAGGGUGGUGGGAAUUUCCUGUGUAGCGGUGAAAUGCGUAGAUAUAGGAAGGAACACCAGUGGCGAAGGCGACCACCUGGGCUCAUACUGACACUGAGGUGCGAAAGCGUGGGGAGCAAACAGG